rnacentral:ncRNA from 1 species
CAACUUGAGAGUUUGAUCCUGGCUCAGAACGAACGCUGGCGGCAGGCCUAACACAUGCAAGUCGAGCGAGAUCUUCGGAUCUAGCGGCGGACGGGUGAGUAACGCGUGGGAACGUACCCUCUUCUGCGGGAUAGCCACUGGAAACGGUGAGUAAUACCGCAUACGCCCUUCGGGGGAAAGAUUUAUCGGAGGAGGAUCGGCCCGCGUUGGAUUAGGUAGUUGGUGGGGUAAUGGCCUACCAAGCC